UACGUAGGGUCCGAGCGUUGUCCGGAAUUACUGGGCGUAAAGAGCUCGUAGGUGGUUUGUCGCGUUGUCCGUGAAAACUCACAGCUUAACUGUGGGCGUGCGGGCGAUACGGGCAGACUGGAGUACUGCAGGGGAGACUGGAAUUCCUGGUGUAGCGGUGGAAUGCGCAGAUAUCAGGAGGAACACCAGUGGCGAAGGCGGUGCUCUGGGCCGGAACUGACGCUGAGGAGCGAAAGCGUGGGGAGCAAACAGG
rnacentral:rRNA from 1 species